AGUGAACGCUGGCGGUAGGCCUAACACAUGCAAGUCGAACGGCAGCACAGUAAGAGCUUGCUCUUACGGGUGGCGAGUGGCGGACGGGUGAGGAAUACAUCGGAAUCUACUUUUUCGUGGGGGAUAACGUAGGGAAACUUACGCUAAUACCGCAUACGACCUACGGGUGAAAGUAGGGGAUCUUCGGACCUUGCGCGAUUGAAUUAGCCGAUGUCGGAUUAGCUAGUUGGCGGGGAAAAGGCCCACCAAGGCGACGAUCCGUAGCUGGUCUGAGAGGAUGAUCAGCCACACUGGAACUGAGACACGGUCAAGACGCCUACGGGAGGCAGCAGUGGGGAAUAUUGGACAAUGGGCGCAAGCCUGAUCCAGCCAUACCGCGUGGGUGAAGAAGGCCUUCGGGUUGUAAAGCCCUUUUGUUGGGAAAGAAAAGCAGCAGGUUAAUACCCAGCUGUUCUGACGGUACCCAAAGAAUAAGCACCGGCUAACUUCGUG
rnacentral:rRNA from 1 species